AUUGAACGCUGGCGGCAUGCCUUACACAUGCAAGUCGAACGGUAACAGGUCUUCGGAUGCUGACGAGUGGCGAACGGGUGAGUAAUACAUCGGAACGUGCCCGAGAGUGGGGGAUAACGAGGCGAAAGCUUUGCUAAUACCGCAUACGAUCUCAGGAUGAAAGCAGGGGACCGCAAGGCCUUGCGCUCACGGAGCGGCCGAUGGCAGAUUAGGUAGUUGGUGGGAUAAAAGCUUACCAAGCCGACGAUCUGUAGCUGGUCUGAGAGGACGACCAGCGACACUGGGACUGGGACACGGCCCGGACUCCUACGGGAGGCAGCGGUGGGGAAUUUUGGACAAUGGGCGCAAGCCUGAUCCAGCCAUGCCGCGUGCAGGAUGAAGGCCUUCGGGUUGUAAACUGCUUUUGUACGGAACGAAAAGACUCUGGUUAAUACCUGGGGUCCAUGACGGUACCGUAAGAAUAAGCACCGGCUAACUACGUGCCAGCAGCCGCCGUAACAC
rnacentral:rRNA from 1 species